CACAUUAUUAUAUUUAGUUUUAUUUUCUUUUAGUGUUAGUGUUUAAUAGAUGAUUCAUAUUAUAAUUGCAGUCAUACGGUGGCGAUAUUGGGCAAGGAUCUUGAAUUUCGUGAAGGUUCCACAUUUUGUUCCGUGGCGAGUUUGUUUUUAAUGAGAAAAUAUCGUAUCGAAUAUAUUGAUGAAAUUUGAUAACACUCGGUCUGAUCCUUUACACACAUAUUUAGAUGUCUAUACUAAACUAGAUUGCUAACAUGUCAUUAUCGAGACAGUUUGCGUCCGAUAGGGUUUCCGUUGUAUGCGAGAAAAUGGUCGCUGCCGCCACAUAUUUAAAAUAGUUAUUACGUGUAAUAUUCAAUAAAGUUUUGUAAUAAUUAUUGUUUCACUCAAACAAAUUGUGUAAAUUAC